rnacentral:tRNA from 1 species
GGAGGGGUGGCAGAGUGGUCGAAUGCGGACGACUUGAAAUCGUCUGUGGGCGAAAGCUCACCGGGGGUUCGAAUCCCUCCCCCUCCGCCA